AGCGAACGCUGGCGGCAGGCUUAACACAUGCAAGUCGAGCGGGCACUUCGGUGUCAGCGGCAGACGGGUGAGUAACACGUGGGAACGUACCCUUUGGUUCGGAAUAACGCUGGGAAACUAGCGCUAAUACCGGAUACGCCCUUUUGGGGAAGGCUUGCUGCCGAAGGAUCGGCCCGCGUCUGUUUAGGUGGUUGGUGGGGUAAUGGCCUACCAAGGCGCCGAUCAGUAGCUGGUCUGAGAGGAUGAUCAGCCACACUGGGAAUGAGACACGGCCCAGACUCCUACGGGAGGGAGCAGUGGGGAAUAUUGGACAAUGGGCGCAAGCCUGAUCCAGCCAUGCCGCGUGAGUGAUGAAGGCCUUAGGGUUGUAAAGCUCUUUUGUCCGGGACGAUAAUGACGGUACCGGAAGAAUAAGCCCCGGCUAACUUCGUG
rnacentral:rRNA from 1 species